CUAGGAAGUAUACCUUCCGACAGGACGUUUGCAAAUGCUUCCUCCUCCAGCUGCUUGGUAGAUAUGUAACCACAUUCACCCUUAAUGUCUCUUUAUCUCACCAGGCACCCUACUGAGAUGAGUUCUUUUUAAAAGAGCUACUUUCCAUGGCGAAUCCAUUUUGGCGAAUAGAAAAUUCAUCAUGCUUACCACACCAAGUAGCAGGAAGGCAGGCUUGCCAGCCGUCCCCUCCUUCCUUGCCCUAGUCUCCAGUACUGUUCCAGCUGGCCUGUAACCUCCAGAAUCCUCCCACGGAUAUGCAGAAAAAAAGAUCCGAAUACUGUCAGCCUGGAGUGGAAUCGAAUGAGCUGUGUAUGAACAGCUGUCCUAAGCAGUUAGAUUCCCUGAGCCUUUUGCCAAAAGAUAAGUAUUUCAUGCCCUGGAAAGGGAGCCUGGAGCUUAACAAUAUAAAAAUUGGAAUUAGUUGAGAGUACUACAACAUCUGAGGAUCUCCAUGAUCUGAAACUAACUUAUUUUGUUUACCACUUCAUUAUAUGACGCUUAGCAUUACAUUCAUACUGCAUGAGACUAUUCCCCAUUUUUGACAUAACACUGUACUUUUACUCACUUCGGGCACCCUGGCUUAUACCAUCAGCCUUACGCUCUAUUACUUUUCCCUCCUUCAUCCCUAAAUGUUCAAGCUCUACGUCUUCAUUUGGGCCUUAAAGAGUAAAUAGGUAUUCUAUAUAUUGAAACCACACCUUACAAUACUUUACAAUACUGAAGAGUGGUUUAGAUAACACUUGCUCUCUUGCUUUCAUGUUAAUGUUACUAUUCUGGGGGGAUAUUUCUGGAUUGGUUUUCUUGAUAGAUGAAAUGGCCUGUGAAUGCAGUCAGUGAGUUGGAGUUCAUGAAGGUAUUCAGGGUUGAAUAUCUACAAAGUCUGCUUUUUCUGCCUUGGAGAACUGUGGU
rnacentral:lncRNA from 1 species